rnacentral:lncRNA from 1 species
AUUUAUAUUACUUUUUAAGUGGUAAGCUAUUGUUGAUUCAGAAAUACAUGCCUCGCUCGCAAAACUUCAAACUGACUUAUCUCUACAACGACAAUAGAUAUCUCAAAUCUGUUAAAGAUAAAUGAUCUACAGUUGAAGGACAACAUUAUAGAAAAAGAAUUGGGACAAUUUCAAAGUUCACCAAGGUCACAAUUAAUCAUCAAAUAUAUGAUGCAAUACCAAACUUAAGAACCGGAAGUCGUAGAGACAUGGGACUACCACCAUUCAACUCAAGACCACUUGACCUUUCAAAUAUCACAAGGUCAAGGUCAUAGUAUACUGUGAAGGUCAAGGUGAAAUUUCAUCAUGACCUGACAUUGACCUCAAAUUGAAGGUCUUGAAUUACUGAUCAUCUUUGCAGUUUAUAGUAGGUUGAUAUCUACUACCUUUUAAAAGAUAUACACAAAAUACUAUACUUUUAAGAAUCAUCCCGUUGUAACUUUUGAACAGACAGUCGGACUUUUUUGGACUUAUCAUAUAAAAUGUAGAGCUCGUCGAGAGGAACAUUUUAUACGCUGUAUGUAUGCAGCAAAGCCUUAUCGUUUUCCUAAUAUGUAAGCUUGAAAUUGCAGCGUAAUUCUUUUUUGCACUCGGUGACCUUUGACCUUGGGUGCAUAUUAAAGGUCACAUGAAUUAAAGAUUAUUGGUGAAGGUCCCAAGUCUCUACGACUUCCGGUUCUCGAAAUAUAAUUUUUCCAAAAAUGUAUA